AACGAACGCUGGCGGCAGGCUUAACACAUGCAAGUCGAACGCCCCGCAAGGGGAGUGGCAGACGGGUGAGUAACGCGUGGGAUCAUACCCUUUUCUACGGAAUAGCUCUGGGAAACUGGAAUUAAUACCGUAUACGCCCUACGGGGGAAAGAUUUAUCGGGGAAGGAUUGGCCCGCGUUGGAUUAGCUAGUUGGUGGGGUAAAGGCCUACCAAGGCGACGAUCCAUAGCUGGUCUGAGAGGAUGAUCAGCCACAUUGGGACUGAGACACGGCCCAAACUCCUACGGGAGGCAGCAGUGGGGAAUAUUGGACAAUGGGCGCAAGCCUGAUCCAGCCAUGCCGCGUGAGUGAUGAAGGCCUUAGGGUUGUAAAGCUCUUUCACCGAUGAAGAUAAUGACGGUAGUCGGAGAAGAAGCCCCGGCUAACUUCGUG
rnacentral:rRNA from 1 species